UAUAACUAAAAAAAACAAAGCAAACUUCCAUUUCUAUAAUUCCAGAAUUUUUAAAGAAACAUUUGGACACUUAAAAUUAAAAAAAAUCUAAAAAUACGUUGGAAUAUGUGACAAAUCAAAUUUCGGAAUUAACAGUGUUAGUAAAUAGACUGAGAUGUACAUUGUUGUGACAUUAGCAGGAAAUUGUACAGCAAGAGGUCAUUGUUUGCAAGUGUUUGUAUGAUGUGUACAAAAAUUUAAAAAAUUAGGCACUUUUUAGGUAUUUUGCAUCAAAAUUGAAUAGUCAAGUUUAAGCAAGGAAUAUUUUUUCCUUUCUGUAUGAUAAGUAUGAAUUUUUCUAAAUUAUUUGAAUGAUGAAUGAAAAAAAUAUCACUUAGGAUGAUAAUAUCCAGCCAUAGAACCUCAACUGUUUGCACAAAAACAAAAAUAAAAGGGAGGCCAAAAUUUAUUAAGUUUUAUCUAUGCAGUAUAGCUUGCUGCACCAGCCUCAAUUUUGGCUCUUAUAUACAGGGUGAUCUUAUCUUAUUGAGCCAAUACAAAACGCUAAAUAAAAAAAAAAAAAAAAAAAGAGGCAGCACUUCCACUGUCCAUCAAUCACUUACUUAGUAGAUAGUUGACAAUUGUUGGUAUCCAUAAUUUUUCAGGUGGAAGAUAUGUUGGUUACUGUGCAAAACAUCGUCAAUACUGACCAUGUUUGCUGGUAUAUAAAGGUGUGCUUCAUUUCUGGAAGGUCUUGGCAGUAGAGCUGCCAAGUUUGAAGAGUAUUUUUUAUAUGCCGAAUGUUUCUACGUCCUCCAUAACAUGAAACGAUGCCAAUAAAUUUUAUUGAAGAAACAUUUUAUGACUCUGUCUAAUACUUUUUAAUGUGAUUUUUUUCUUUAAUCGGAAAAAAAAUGCAAUUUAUUGUGUCGUACAUCUACAUCGAUAUAACCUUAUUUAUUUAUAAUAAAGAU
rnacentral:lncRNA from 1 species